CCCUUAGAUGUUCUGGGCCGCACGCGCGCUACACUGAUGCACUCAACGAGUCUCCACCUUGACCGAAAGGUCCGGGAAACCUUCGAACUUGCAUCGUGAUGGGGAUAGAUUAUUGCAACUAUUAAUCUUCAACGAGGAAUACCUAGUAAGCGCAUGUCAUCAGCGUGCGUUGAUUACGUCCCUGCCCUUUGUACACACCGCCCGUCGCUCCUACCGAUUGAAUGGUCCGGUGAAGCGUUCGGACCGUGGCCUUUGGACGGUUCGCCGUCUGUUGGCUGCGGGAAGUUCGUUAAACCUUAUCAUUUAGAGGAAGGAGAAGUCGUANCA
rnacentral:rRNA from 1 species